rnacentral:rRNA from 1 species
AGUGAACGCUGGCGGCAGGCCUAAUACAUGCAAGUCGAACGGCAGCACAGCAGAGCUUGCUCUGUGGGUGGCGAGUGGCGGACGGGUGAGGAAUACAUGGGAAUCUGCCCAGUCGUGGGGGAUAACGUAUGGAAACGUACGCUAAUACCGCAUGCGCCCUACGGGGGAAAGCCGGGGACCGAAAGGCCUGGCGCGAUUGGAUGAGCCCAUGUUCGGUUAGCUAGUUGGCGGGGUAAAGGCCCACCAAGGCGACGAUCGAUAGCUGGUCUGAGAGGAUGAUCAGCCGCACUGGAACUGAGACACGGUCCAGACUCCUACGGGAGGCAGCAGUAGGGAAUAUUGGACAAUGGGCGCAAGCCUGAUCCAGCCAUGCCGCGUGAGUGAAGAAGGCCCUCGGGUUGUAAAGCUCUUUUGUCCGGAAAGAAAAGCACUGGGUUAAUACCCCGGUGUCCUGACGGUACCGGAAGAAUAAGCACCGGCUAA